GAUGAAGAACGCAGCGAAAUGCGAUAAGUAAUGUGAAUUGCAGAAUUCAGUGAAUCAUCGAAUCUUUGAACGCACCUUGCACCCUUUGGACUGCUCCAAAGGGUAUGCUCGUUUGAGUGUCAUUGUACUCUCACACUCUCUGAUCCUUUGGAUUUGGGGAGCAGUGGACUUGGGUGCUUGCUGCUUCCUUGUGGCUCACCUGAAAUGCAACAGUGCAUCUCUCGAUUGGACAUAGUACGGCGUGAUAAGUGUCUUCGCCGGCACCUCAUAUGAGGGUGGCCGAUCGGGAGCUCUGUGCUUUCAAACCGUCUUCGGACAACGCUGACAACUUGACCUCAAAUCGAGUAGGACUACCCGCUGAACUUAAGCAUAUCAAUAAGCGGAGGA
rnacentral:misc_RNA from 1 species